rnacentral:rRNA from 1 species
GACGAACGCUGGCGGCGUGCUUAACACAUGCAAGUCGAACGGAAAGGCCCUGCGUUUGUGGGGUGCUCGAGUGGCGAACGGGUGAGUAACACGUGAGUAACCUGCCCUUGACUGUGGGAUAACUUCAGGAAACUGGGGCGAAUACCGGAUAGGAGCUCCUGCUGCAUGGUGGGGGUUGGAAAGUUUCGGCGGUUGGGGAUGGACUCGCGGCUUAUCAGCUUGUUGGUGGGGUAGUGGCUUACCAAGGCUUUGACGGGUAGCCGGCCUGAGAGGGUGACCGGCCACCUUGGGCCUGCGGUACGGCCCAGACUCCUAUGGGAGGCAGCAGUGGGGAGCCUUGCACAAUGGGCCGACGCCUGAUGCAGCAACGCCGCGUGCGGGAUGACGGCCUUCGGGUUGUAAACCGCUUUCGCCUGUGCCGAAGCGUGAGUGACGGUAAUGGGUAAAGAAGCACCGGCUAACUACGUG